ACCAUCCUUUUCUUGGGGUUGAGCUGCUGGCCUAUGAAUGGUUAAUGAGGUCAGUACUGCUAACACCACAAACAACACCAAAGCAUCCCUAAUAUCUGUGUAUUAGUGAGGUGCAAUUUUUGGACCC